rnacentral:lncRNA from 1 species
GUGAUUGCUAUGAGUAUGGGUUUUUUGGGAGAGAGAGAAGAAACUGUUCUAAAACUGAUCAUAGUGAUAGUUGCAAAAUACUUUGAAUAACCUAAAAAACAUUAAACUGUAUACUUUAAAUAGGUGAGUUCUAUGGUAUGUAAAUCAUAUUUCAAUAAAGCUGUUUCUUUAAAUGUCCUGCAGGUCAGAUGACAAUGUAUUACUGUGUGAGACUACACUGUCCUUGUCUUUAAGUUUGCAAGACAUUUAACUUCUAUUCCACCUAUUCUCUCAAAUCAUUGUAACAACAACAGCCCCUUACAUUUUCUCACAGUGUUAGUUUCAGCCCCUUGGAGAAUCUGGCACCACUCACUGGUCUAAUCCAUUUAGUAAAUCAGUUCUUUCUUGCCAGUGAUUGGUUGAUAAAUUCGGAUUUAAGCCAAUCAGUAAAUAUGUUUAGACCGGAAUAGUCACAUGACUUGUGUUGGCCCAAUCAGAACAAAGAAAAGAUUUUCAGCCAGUGGUUUUGGGGAGCCUCGCUUUCUCUCUCCCUGACUGGGCUUGAAUAAACACACAAGUGCUUCUAUUGCUCCUGAUGACCACUUUGAGAUGAAGAGUAAAACCAGCUGUAGAAUCAAGCCAAUGAUGUGCAUGAUCACUCACCUGGGAGCAGCCAGCUUCUCUGUCACGAGGACACUCAAAAAACCCAAUGGAGGAGCUCACAUGGUAAAGAACUGAGGCUUUCUGCCAACAGCCAGUGAGGAACUGAGCCCUGCUGGCAGCUGCCAGAUAAGCAAGCCAUCUUGGAAGAAGACCCCCAGCCUGUCAAGCCUUCAGCAACUGCAGCCCCAGCUGAUGCAAGAAACCAGAGUCAGAAUUACUCAGCAAGGCAUUCCUAAAUUUCUGACCCAUAGAAAUUGUAAGAUAAUAAAUGUUUGGGGUUUUUCUUUAAUCCACUAAGUCUGUGGGUAAUGUAUAUGAGCAGUGGAUAGCUUAUACUGUAAGAAAAAUAGAGGCAUUGGAUAUAAACCACUGGUCCAAAAAUUUUAACAAACAGAAAGAAAGAGACAGCAAGUAGUAGAGUGGAGCUGGAGGGAGCAGAGGUUGAAAGAGAAUACUGUCAUGGCAAAGGGCAUGGGUUUUUAAGAUAAAUCAGACAUGAAUUUGAAACCAGCACUGACACCUGUUAACUAUGUGACCUUGGGCAAACACUUAGAGUCUGUAAGCAUCAGUGUCUUCUUUUGUCUGUGUUCUUAAAAUAAUAGUACCUACUUCACACAUUUAUUUUAGAUCAAAAGACAAAAUGCACAGGAAAUAUCUACUUGGCACAUAGCAGACAGUAGACAGGUAUAAGUUAUUAGUGAUCACUUCAUUGAAGGUAAACAUGACACUCUGCUAACCUACACUGCCUGACUUUGCAGGGAAUGGAGUACCAUUUCAAUGCUUAUUGUUUUUUUUUUUCUUUUUCUUUUCUUGUUUUUUUUUUUAAAUUCUGAGAUAUAUCAGAAACAUGAUUUACUUUAUUUAACUAGAUAAACUUAAGUUCUGUGUAUCCAAAAUAUUCCAAGGACAGCAGAAGCAGAUAAAUCUGGAAAAAAAGUAUUUGAAUAGAAAUAAAUGUUGUUUCAAAAAAGUUUCUCCUUUUCUUGCCUUUUAGAGCAAUGUAGGCACCAUGCUUAGUACAUACACAAAACCUCCAACAUCAUCUACUUACAGAUCGUUCAUGUCAGUUCCAUGUUUAUUACUUUGAAGAGGGCAAAUUUUUUCAACAAGAGCUACUAUGCACUUAAGGCAUAUUCUCAAAAUCUCCAAGACUUAGUGUUCAUAUCUAUAGUAGUAAUU